rnacentral:rRNA from 1 species
GACGAACGCUGGCGGCGUGCCUAAUACAUGCAAGUAGAACGCACAGUUUAUACCGUAGCUUGCUACACCAUAGACUGUGAGUUGCGAACGGGUGAGUAACGCGUAGGUAACCUGCCUGGUAGCGGGGGGUAACUAUUGGCAACUAUAGCUAAUACCGCAUAAUAUUGAUUAUUGCAUGAUAAUUUAUUGAAAGAUGCUAUUGCAUCACUACCAUAUGGACCUGCGUUGUAUUAGCUAGUAGGUGAGGUAACGGCUCACCUAGGCGACGAUACAUAGCCGACCUGAGAGGGUGAUAGGCAACACUGGGACUGAGACACGGCCCAGACUCCUACGGGAGGCAGCAGUAGGGAAUCUUCGGCAAUGGACGAAAGUCUGACCGAGCAACGCCGCGUGAGUGAAGAAGGGUUUCGGAUCGUAAAGCUCUGUUGUAAGAGAAGAACGGGUGUGAGAGUGGAAAGUUCACACUGUGACGGUAUCUUACCAGAAAGGGACGGCUAACUACGUG